CACCUCACAUCCACACUCAAUUAUCACUAUAAAAGAAGUUUCAUGUACUCCGUAAAACUCACCACCCUCAAUACAUUUUUCUCUUACAACUUUUGUGUGGUCUCUCUCUCCUUUUCUUUUGCUCAAAGGGAGAGAGAGAACAAUAAAAAGAAUAAAUAAUAUUUGUAAGAGAAAAAUGGCUUCUUCAAUGAGGGUGGUCUUCUUCUUGGGCCUCAUUUACGCGGCUCUUAUAUCAGUGGUGGUUGCUUCAGAAGAAGCCGCCACUUUAUCUAUUGAUGUUGGUAAAAUUCCCACCACAAACACAAACGAUGGUACCGCAAUUGAUCAAGCGGUUGGUUAUCUUCUAAUGUUGUUGGCUUUGGUGCUCACCUACCUCAUUCAUUAAGAGAUCGUUAAGGAAACAAAAUGCUAGUGUUGAUAAGAGAGAAGCAUUAUUUAUUGUAACACUUGUGAGGAAUAUUUUUGUUGACAAGAAGGAAGAAUGGUUUUUUGACAAGAGAAUAUGUGCUUCAAUUGGAAACAAUUUAUGGAUACCUAGAUUAUUUUUCUAGCUCCAAUAAUGAUAUUAUAAUUUUUUGGCUUGUCUUUUU